GACGAACGCUGGCGGCGUGCUUAACACAUGCAAGUCGACCGGAAAGGCCCUGCUUUUGUGGGGUGCUCGAGUGGCGAACGGGUGAGUAACACGUGAGUAACCUGCCCUUGACUUUGGGAUAACUUCAGGAAACUGGGGCUAAUACCGGAUAGGAGCUCCUGCUGCAUGGUGGGGGUUGGAAAGUUUCGGCGGUUGGGGAUGGACUCGCGGCUUAUCAGCUUGUUGGGGGGGUAGUGGAUUACCAAGGCUUUGACGGGUAGCCGGCCUGGGAGGGUGACCGGCCACAGUGGGACAGGGAUGCGGCCCAGACGGCAACGGGAGGCAGGGGGGGGGAAUUGUGGAAGAAGGGCGGAGGGCGGGAGGAACGACGCCGGGGGGGGAAGGGCGGCUUUGGGGUUGGAACCCCUGUGCGCGUAGGACGGGGCGGGGUGAAGGUAAAUGGGGAAAAAGGCACCGCCAAACUAGUG
rnacentral:rRNA from 1 species